AGAUCAUCCAGAGUUUGGGGUUGGUGUGUACGUUACAGUGAAGAUCCUGGAAAUCGUGGCGCUCUACAGUACAUUCUUCAUCUUUGAGUGCUGGUUUAGAUCAAGAUGCUGCAACAAACCAGAGAAGGAAGCAGAAGAACCAGACUACGUCAACAGAGUGAUUGAGAUUCAAGCAUCAUGAAGGAGAAGAGGAAGACGUCAUGUUCACCAUGAAUGGAAUAUUUCUCUACUUCCUGUUUCUCUCUUUCUUAGAAUAUAAACGGCUUUGCUUUGCAGAAUAUUGAUAAGAUAAACAAAUGAUGGUUGCAUCAUCAGUUUGUGUGAGAUUGUGCAGAUAUAUGGUUCUAAUGAUUAUUGUUUUCUGACUCAAUGUGUUUUAUUCGUAUGUAAAAUACUUUAAUUUUGAUGAAUAAGCAGAAAAUGUUACAAUUUUUAAUGUAUGCCAACAAGAACUGUGUUGAUGUGUUUUAGGUUGGUUUUUGUCUGUUUUCUGUUUGUAGUUUAAAAAAAAAGCUUUUUGUAAAGUAGUUUGAUUUGGGUAAAAGUUCAAAUACCAAACUGGAAAAAUGAUGAUGGUAAAAAAAAUUUAAAAAUGUAAUUUGUGCAUUGAAAUGUUCCUGAAGUAAAGUUACUGUAUGUUAGUCUAAUGAUGAGAAUGUACAUAAAGUAUUGAAAUAGUGCUCAGUGUGACUGCUAUAGUAUUAUAUAAUAAAUAAUAAUAUUAUUAUUAUUACUGGUUUUUAUCAUGGCUUAAUUUGCUGAUUAUUUUCUCCAUUACUCGAUUGUGUUUUGUUGUUGUUUUGUUUUUUGGAUUUGUAAAAAUUCACAGAA